rnacentral:rRNA from 1 species
UACGUAGGUGACCAGCGUUGUCCGGAUUUACUGGGCGUAAAGAGCGCGCAGGCGGUCGUUCAAGUCGAGUGUGAAAGCCCCCGGCUCAACUGGGGAGGGUCACUCGAUACUGAUCGACUCGAAGGCAGGAGAGGGAAGUGGAAUUCCCGGUGUAGUGGUGAAAUGCGUAGAUAUCGGGAGGAACACCAGUGGCGAAGGCGACUUCCUGGCCUGUUCUUGACGCUGAGGCGCGAAAGCUAGGGGAGCAAACGGG